GUUAUAAAUAAUAAAGGAGAAAUAAAUGCCUUCAGUUCCACAAUGUGAUUUGCUGGGGGUUUGCUCAACAUGAUCUGUAGAUCUGUGGUGAUGAUUGGCUCUAAAUUGUUGUAUAUUGGCCAAGAAGAGACCAUUAAAUUGUCAAAAAAAGAGCCAUGUGCACAUUUUGAUACAAACCCUUGCCCCUAUUGGCGUUUGCAUAUUAAGUCAAACUUCCCUUAUGACUACCAAAUUGGUAAAUUUUCCUUUGGACAAAUGGUUUACUAUCCCACAAUAAAAAGCUAAACACUAGUAUGACAGAAAUCAAAAUACGACUGGAGGUGUCCUCAAAGUAAAGUACAGCUCUACUCCUUCUCAGGUACCUGAUACUAACACUUUGUUUAUUGCCUGUAAAAUCCUGGAUUGCAUGUAAUAGCAUGUGUCCUUUGAUGUGCAGCAAAUGUCGUCUUUAGUGCUGUAGUGGUGUUGCUACCUUGCCUGCAGCUGCUGAGAACAAUAGGUGCAUUUGUUGACAACAGCGCCUGAUGCAGUGCUACAUGUAGUUUGGUGAAAGCUGGGAUUUGAUUGAGGUUUUGAACAGAUAAAGUUCAACGACAAUUCAAGACUUUAAUCCUAAAUUCUGGCAUCCCAGAACUAAUUCUAAGCUUUAUAUCUGUACCUUAACCUUAUCACACAUAGUAACUUUAUGUCGUAUCUGUCAUCAGUCCGAAAAGAUUGACACUGAAACUGAAAGCACUGGCAAUGGCUUAAAACUGCCUGGAAACAAUGGAAGUCACAGUCUGUCACAUUGUAUGUGAAUACUGCUGUAAGUAUUGGCGGGUCUGUAAAUACCUCUGUUUGUGUUUCAUGAACUCUAGCCUCACGGUGUGUGUCUCCAGGAAUCUAAAUUUUGCUCUCCUUUGCCUCACACUGGGUUUGCGAGAUUGUGUAUAGUGAAGUUUAUCUGUACAUUAUUUCUUUGUGUUUGUCUUUUAUCUUAUCUCUUUCCCUAUGGGGAGUUUAAACCAAGUAAAUGUGCAGUUUAAAUAAAAACUGUCACUUUUCAUUUCAUCCUGCUAUUUUAAACAGAGUACUGCUGUGUGUACACACACACACACACACACACACACACACACACACACACACACACUUGCUUCACAUUUCACUUUUAUUCUUGUAAUCUCCCAGUUCGUUUUCAUACUGCAAGGUUUUUCCUGUUUAUUUUUGUUGAUUCUGGCAAAAUGUUUUCUAGGCUGUAGAAUAUCUGUUAAGUGCACUUAUUUCCCUUUAGGUUUAGAUAUUCUGUAACUGUCUUUGAGCUCAGAUUGGGAGUGCAGUCAUGUAUGUUAAUCGUCUGGUUUGACUUGCAGUUGUAAAUGCUUUGGGUUACUAAUAUGGUUUAAUAUGGUUUGCCAUGGAUGUUUAUGUGCUAAAUAAAAUACAACACAAUAAGGG